ACAUAUUCUUUUUCUGGUUUUUUACAGUGCUGGAAAUCCUCAUUAUGAGGGAGAGGCUGACAUGGUGAAAGGCAGAGCCUCAGUCCAGAGGGAGAUCUCUAAAUAGGAAGACUGGAACAUCAGGAUGUUUACAAAGCCCAGUAAGUAGAAGUGUCAGUGGCACCUGGUGCGCAGGGGUGAGGCAGGGAUAACCCUAAGCAUUGGUUCAGGCUAAGAAGUGACCGGUGGAGCUGCUUGAUAUGAUUUGGAGGUGACUGUGAACAUGAGCUUGAACAUGGCCCAAAAAUAAUUCUCAUUGUCCAUAAUGCAAACUGCUCACUGGGCCAUAAAAGAAGGACGGUGGCCAGCCCAGUGGAGGGAUGUUGGAGACUGUUGUAUAGCUGUGAGUCUGAAAAGCUCUUCAAUAUGAUCCAUUAUACUAUGGAGAAAUUGAUAAUGAUGCUGGCAAAGUUCAGGAAAGAUCCCUUCACAACCUUCCACAAAACUGCUGAGGUCACAGGUAGUGAGAACAGUGGAAAAACAAGUGUUCCACCAGGGAGACUGAAGUGCACAGGCAUGCUGGCAGAAGACAGCAGGCAAGAUGUCUUGCUAUAUGUUAGGCACCAGAGUGAACAUGCUUGCUGGCAUGGCCUGAAUAACUUAGGCCUGAAUAACUUACUGCCUGAAUGGGGCAGCCAUGAGAGCUGUGCCAGCGUGCAGAGUACCAGCAGCACCGUCCCUUCUGCUUCCUCCCAGGGCCAUCACUCCCAGCAAGCUGAGUUUCCUGGAUGUUAUUGAAACAGGAUAAUCACUUACUCAUGUGCAACCAACAACCACAUGGAAGCUGCUUACAAAAGAAGCAGCCUUUUCUUUGCUAACAAUGGAACUCCUUACUGUUUUACUUUUCCAACAAAAAUUUCGCAAACAUAGUAAUUAAAUUUC